GGGUCUGUAGCUCAGUAGGUUUAGAGCGAUUGCCUGAAAAGCAAUAGGUCGAGGGUUCGAUUCCCUCUGGACCCACCC
rnacentral:tRNA from 1 species